AGUAGGGUUGCUGGAUCAUAUGGUAGGUCUAUGUUUAACUUUAUAAGAAACUGUUAAACUGUUUUCCAAAAUGGCUGUACCAUUUUGCAUUUCCAUCAGCAAU
rnacentral:pre_miRNA from 1 species